AGAGUUUGAUCCUGGCUCAGAACGAACGCUGGCGGCAUGCCUAACACAUGCAAGUCGAACGCUUUCGUGGUUUCGGCCAUGAGGGAGUGGCGCACGGGUGAGUAGCGCGUGGGAACCUGCCCUGGAGUGGGGGAUAACCGAGGGAAACUUCGGCUAAUACCGCAUGCGCCCGAGGCGACUCGGGGAAAGAUUUAUCGCUC
rnacentral:rRNA from 1 species